AGAUUAAGUUAUUAAGGGCGCACGGUGGAUGCCUUGGCACUAGAAGCCGAUGAAGGACGUUACUAACGACGAUAUGCUUUGGGGAGCUGUAAGUAAGCUUUGAUCCAGAGAUUUCCGAAUGGGGAAACCCAGCAUGAGUUAUGUCAUGUUAUCGAUAUGUGAAUACAUAGCAUAUCAGAAGGCACACCCGGAGAACUGAAACAUCUUAGUACCCGGAGGAAGAGAAAGAAAAUUCGAUUCCCUUAGUAGCGGCGAGCGAAACGGGAAGAGCCCAAACCAACAAGCUUGCUUGUUGGGGUUGUAGGACACUCUAUACGGAGUUACAAAGGACGACAUUAGACGAAUCAUCUGGAAAGAUGAAUCAAAGAAGGUAAUAAUCCUGUAGUCGAAAAUGUUGUCUCUCUUGAGUGGAUCCUGAGUACGACGGAGCACGUGAAAUUCCGUCGGAAUCUGGGAGGACCAUCUCCUAAGGCUAAAUACUCUCUAGUGACCGAUAGUGAACCAGUACCGUGAGGGAAAGGUGAAAAGCACCCCGGAAGGAGAGUGAAAUAGAACCUGAAACCGUGUGCUUACAAGUAGUCAGAGCCCGUUAAUGGGUGAUGGCGUGCCUUUUGUAGAAUGAACCGGCGAGUUACGAUUUGAUGCAAGGUUAAGCAGUAAAUGUGGAGCCGUAGCGAAAGCGAGUCUGAAUAGGGCGUUUAGUAUUUGGUCGUAGACCCGAAACCAGGUGAUCUACCCUUGGUCAGGUUGAAGUUCAGGUAACACUGAAUGGAGGACCGAACCGACUUACGUUGAAAAGUGAGCGGAUGAACUGAGGGUAGCGGAGAAAUUCCAAUCGAACCUGGAGAUAGCUGGUUCUCUCCGAAAUAGCUUUAGGGCUAGCCUCAAGUGAUGAUUAUUGGAGGU
rnacentral:rRNA from 1 species